ACUGAACGCUGGCGGCAGGCCUAACACAUGCAAGUCGAGCGGAUGACGGGAGCCUGCUCCUUGAUUCAGCGGCGGACGGGUGAGUAAUGCCUAGGAAUCUGCCUGGUAGUGGGGGACAACGUUUCGAAAGGAACGCUAAUACCGCAUACGUCCUACGGGAGAAAGCAGGGGACCUUCGGGCCUUGCGCUAUCAGAUGAGACUAGGUCGGCUUAGCUAGGAGGUGAGGUAAUGGUUCACCUGGGUGACGAUCCGUAACUGGUCUGAGAGGAUGAUCAGUCACACUGGAACUGAGACACGGUCCAGACUCCUACGGGAGGCAGCAGUGGGGAAUAUUGGACAAUGGGCGAAAGCCUGAUCCAGCCAUGCCGCGUGUGUGAAGAAGGUCUUCGGAUUGUAAAGCACUUUAAGUUGGGAGGAAGGGCAGUAAGUUAAUACCUUGCUGUUUUGACGUUACCGACAGAAUAAGCACCGGCUAACUCUGUGCCAGCCGCCGCCGUAACAC
rnacentral:rRNA from 1 species